rnacentral:lncRNA from 1 species
CAGAGAAACGGGGAACUGGUCAAAGAAUACUCCACAGAGAGAAAGCACCACCAUCAGCCUUUGCCUCCCAGAUUGUACCUGGACAUGGUAACAGUUCAGGAGCCUGAAGACACUGCCGUUGAGUGGAUAUUCUCACUUUGAAACUGGCUGCACACUCACUUGGGAGCUUUUGAGCCAAUUUCUGAACUGAAGGCUAGAUGCUCGUUUUUAUCCUGAAAUUGGGAAGAACACGAGAAGAAGACCGUGUGGUACCAGGAUUGGUUGUUGACAGGAAGAUGACUGAAUGUACUGUUCCAGAGCAAUAGAAUCACGUCAAGGCAGAGAAUGUAACUGUUUUCUUCCCCACCGGCACCCCUCAACGUACCGAAGGCUGAG